UGAAUACAGUGAUCGCUGAUAUGUAUAUGCUGGGGAUUGGCCCAGUGUUUCUACCAACUGCCUUAAGAGUUGACUACAUAGAUUUCACUAUUGUAG
rnacentral:ncRNA from 2 species